UGCUGCGCAGGAUCCUCAAGGCCUCUGGUAGGGGACCCAGGCUGGAAGGAUGGAUCGCUCGCAGGGGCGGGAGGGGAAUGUCUAUUGUGUUACACAGAUUGCCGAUGACAAAGGUCCUGUUGGACCCGCUCUGAGCGCUGAUUACUCGUUUAAAAGCAAAGCACUUGUAACCGUGCUACAGAACAAGGCUAGGCCAGGUUAGCAGGAUCAGCAGUGCUCUGUGGGUGUGCCAACCUAACGUCUCCAAAUUCUGGAGAAGUUACGCCCACAUGUGAGCUUUUCUGCUGUGCCCGACUUUCCUUCGUCUCAGUUCACGCAGCACAGCCGUCGUUUUAUUCCAAAGAUGUCUCUGAGUGAGAAAAGCGACGAGGAGCUCGGCAGCUUGCUCUCUCAGUAUGGCAUCAAACACGGACCCAUCGUGGACUCCACUCGGCAUCUGUAUGAGAGGAAGCUUGAAAAGGCGAUGGAGCAGGCUUCAGUGAAGACGUCCUCUGAUAAGACCUACUACAGAGAGGAAGAGGAGGAAGUUACCUACAUCACAUACCAGA